rnacentral:misc_RNA from 1 species
GUAGGUGAACCUGCGGAAGGAUCAAUAUGGAGGGAGUGAGGAGAGUGAUAAGUGGAAAAAAAGUUUACAUUAUAUUCAAUCUACAACACACACACACAACUCAUAACAAUGGAUCUCUGGGCUCUU